rnacentral:rRNA from 1 species
AUUAGACUACCCGCGUAGUCCCAGCCGUAAACUAUGCGCGUUAGGUGUAUCGGUGACCACGAGUUACCGAGGUGCCGAAGGGAAACCGUGAAACGUGCCGCCUGGGAAGUACGGUCGCAAGGCUAGAAACUUAAAGGAAUUGGCGGGGGAGCACAACAACGGGUGGAGCCUGCGGUUUAAUUGGACUCAACGCCGGACAACUCACCGGGAACGACGGCAAUAUGUAGGCCAGGCUGAAGACCUUGCCUGAAUCGCUG